rnacentral:tRNA from 1 species
GUAAAUAUAGUUUAAAUAAAACAUUAGAUUGUGAUUCUAAAGAUAGGGGAUAACCCCCCUUAUUCACC